GGGACCGGGAGAGGUAAGAGGUACUACAGGGGUAGGAGUGGAAAUCUUGUAAUCCCUGUGGGACCACCUGUGGCGAAGGCGUCUUACCAGAACGGGUUCGACGGUGAGGGACGAAAGCUGGGGGGCACGAACCGGAUUAGGAUACCCGGGUAGUCCCAGCCGUAAACGAUGCUCGCUAGGUGUCAGGCAUGGCGCGACCGUGUCUGGUGCCGCAGGGAAGCCGUGAAGCGAGCCACCUGGGAAGUACGGCCGCAAGGCUGAAACUUAAAGGGAAUUGGCGGGGGAGCACAACAACGGGUGGAGCCCUGCGGUUUAAUUGGACUCAACGCCGGACAACUCACCGGGGGCGACAGCAAUAUGUAGGCCAAGCUGAAGACUUUGCCUGAAUCGCUGAGGAGUGGUGCAUGG
rnacentral:rRNA from 1 species